rnacentral:lncRNA from 1 species
AUGUCUGAUCCCUUCUCACCUUCUUUUCUGCUACCACUCUGGGACAAUCACCCAUCAUUUCUUGACUGGAUUAUUUCAUUAGUCUCCUCGUUGGUCUCUUGCUUUCACCUUGACCAUUCUUCCACUCUUGCCCUCAUGCUCCUCCUCCCUUAGUGUUUUCUUGCAAAACCAGGCAUAGGGAUCCUUUAAAGACAUAAUUCGGCUAAUGUGUCGUCUGUGCUUAAGCCUCUCAUGUUAGCUUGGAGUAAAAGCUAACGUUCUUAGCAUGGCCUCAGUGGCCCUAGGUGGUCUCCUUGGCCUCUUUGCCUACUGCUCUCCCUCUUCCUCACUGUAGUAGUUCAUCUUUGCUGCCCUAACAAGUUGCCACACACUCAUUAGCUUAAACAAAAUUAAUUAUCUUACUGUUAUAGAGGUCAGAUGUCUCCUUGGGAUAAUAUCCAAAGACAAAUGAAAUGCAUCAGGCUAUCAUAAGAAUAGCUGUGUGGAUUCUAUCUGCGCCCUCAGUCUCACACGUAGGAAAGAACAGCAGUUCUACAGCCUGCAAGGGGCUGGAAGCGUUACCCUAUUUACUGUCCCUCGCAUUUACUGUAUCAUAUGGGCAUCUGUGAAGUGGAUUCAUGAAUAUCUAACCCUCCCCAGAUGGAGAAAGGGCUUAAAAUGAUCCCUUCAAAGGAAGAAUGGAUUGUGGAUAAUACUCCUAACAUGAACACAUGCAAUCAGUAAAAUAUGGCAAGGCAGACAUUUUUUUCUUGUCGGCCACAUUAGUGGGUAAGAACAGAGCCAAUCUGAAUCAGAUCUGCUAAGUCACAUAAAAAUAUAAAACCAGAUGACUUUUGAGAUAUUGCUCUAUUUCCAUUCCCUUAGUGCUGAAACUUAAGUAUAAAUUAUGUCCUAAACUAUUAACAAUAUGGUCGUCUGAAGUCAUUGUAAUUUUGUAAUUAUCAAGAUACUGAGAACAUUAUGUAAAAUCUUAUUUCAUAUCAAUGUACGUAUGUCAUUUGCAGAAAAACAGUUCUGCAAAUGACAUAAAUACAUAUACAGAAAUUGGAUUUCUAUGUCAAACAUGAGAGGAUGCUGGUAUCAAAUAAAUAUGGAGCCCACACAAUGGCGGAGACGCUUACAGUGCACCAGUGAUGGAGCACUUGACACUAAUAAGUGCAGAGGCCUAUGGGAAGUUAUUUGAUGGGGAGAUAGUCCAGCCUAGAGGAAAUGAGGGCUGAAGGCUAAAGGGCAGAUGGUCCUUGGCCAAGCACAAAGAGGGUAAGAGGCCAUGCCAAGUAGAAGAAGCAAAGUCAGCAAGGGCAUGGCAGACUUGAAGAACAGCAGGUCAUGCAGAAGGAGGGGACCAAGAUCCUGCAAGGUGAAUGCUGUGAUCCUCCAGGGUGCAAAUAAAUAGCCCAGCCAAGGUCUUAACUCCAGCCUUCUGAGGUCCAAUUUCCAGUAUUUCCCGUGGGAAGCAGUAAGACGUACAGAUUGUACAAAGAAAGAUAAAAGCAUAGGCUUAGAAUCAGACAGACUGAAGUUUGCCUCCAAACUGUGCCACUUGCUCUGUAAACUUGAUUAAGUGACUUUUCCUUUAUAAUCGUGGAUGCUCUCAUCUGCAAAUGAUAAUAAUAAUACCUAUCCAACGAAGCAUUUUGAGGGCCACCUGAGAUGAUGUGUUCUAAUUAGCACAGAGGCACGCCUAUGUCCAAUGUUCCAUGAUUGCUCUAGGUGAUAAGGAUUUAGCAGGAAAGAUCAGGAUCCACCACAGGCAACCUGCAGAUGGUAUUAAGAGCGAGGACACAUUUUGCUUGCAUAACGUACCCUGAACCUCACAUGUGGUAGAAGGAAACCCUCAACACCGAGAGAUAAGAGAUUAAGCAAAAGAGGCAAGAAGGACACCUUCAGAAUGAGUCAUGUUGGAAUGGGACAAAAUAUUAAAGGAGAUAAGGAAAAAACUUAGAGAAACUCCCUGUGGAAAAUGCUUUUAAAAGGAGGAUUCUAAGCUGAGGGAGGAAAAACGACCUGCUCUUCGCAAGGAAAAAUCUGGCACACAGUGCUGCCGUGCUCCACAGCCAGCUGGGGACAAGGCAAAGUUUUCCCCUUGUUUGUUUCAUUUGUGUGUCUUCAGUAAGGCUGGGAAGCACAAUAAGUGGAAUCUUAGACAAAGCAAUAUCAGGGGGAAAUUUCUAUCACCAAGAGAAGAAAGAGGAACAAAAGACAGGGGAAUAGUGUUGGGGUGUGUGUGUGUGUGUUUAGGAGGGAGGAUGUUUUGAUUUUGUAUGUUGAAGAAAUAAUUGGAAGAGAAUUCAGUCAUUCUCUGUCAGGAAAAAUUAACUCAAGAGCAUGACAUUAGAAAUCAGAACAGGAGGCAGAGUUCUUCCCAGCUUCAUGGGAACCCCCACAGCAGGUUGUAACUCACUCACAGCAUUGGUCACAGUUUCCUUGUGUUGGUGUUUUUAAUCCACACGACAGUAUUAGCUUCUGUCUGGAUUGGCAGCUUCUAGAAGGCAUAGGCUCAAAGACACGGGGAAUACUCACCAGCCUGAAUUUGCUGUAAAUCCUUAUCUGCAGCAUUCAGGCUUUCUUCCCCUUCAUGUGUAUCUGGUGACAUAGCCUGGUAAUUAGAUGGUGGCACCUUACCAAGCCAUGCAGUGGGCACAUUUCAGAGUAGUAUGUCUCUUCUAUGUAGUGGCAGAACUAGACCUGGCAUCUCCUCCUCUGCUCUCUCCACAGGAGCACCCAUCUCUCCUGUUUGGGGAAUGAAGGGUGGUUCUAGUCACGGGAUAAUCUUCACUUCCAUGGAGAUGGUUUCUUCUCUUGCGGUGUGAUAGAAAGAGUUCUUUUCAUCCCUGCCCUGCAAAGUACCGAUGAUUUGGUUUAGGGCAGGUUACCUAACUUCUCUGAUCUUCACGUUUCUCAUUUAUAAGUAUGAAAACAAUACCCACCUCAAAAAAUUGUUACAAAGAUUGAGUCACUUAAUGUGUUUCAGAUAGUAGGUAGCACUGCCGGGUAUAUACUUUGAAUGGCAGCAAAUGCUAAUUUCUUCAUUUAAUUCAAAAUUACUGAGUUCUCUGGAAAGGCUUUCUCCACUUGAUGAGGAAAUGACUCUCGAAUUGAACUGUCCUCGCAGCCAGUGAUCCCAUAGAUAACAGGGUGACCCCUCUCCAGGAUCAAUAUCAAUCUUAACAGAACACGGAUCAGCCUUGUUAUGUUCACAUGUCCACCUUCAGACCAUGAUAGUGACCAGAGUGAUGAGAUACUUUGACCAUCUUAUGUCCUUUGACCACUUCUAUGGUGAGAAGUGUAGACAGAUAAAAAAAAAUGCCCAUUAUUCAAGUGUGACUGAUGUCAGGUGGUGAAGAGAUGGAGGAGAGGCAGGAUGGAAGCUUUGCAAGGCUAGACACACCUUUCCUCAUAUUUUUUUAAUUAAAUUAUAGUUUAUUUCCAAUGUUGUGCAAAUUUGUGCUGUACAGCAAAGUAACAUAUAUACAUUCCCUGUCUUAUGUUAUUUUCCAUCGUGGUCUAUCCCAAGAGGCUGGAUGUACAUCCCUCUUUGCUUAUCCUCUUUGCGUAUCCAUUCUAAAUGUAAUAGUUUGCAUCUACUAACCCCAAACUACCCAUCCAUCCCACUCCCUCCCUCUUCCCCCUUGGCAACCACAAGUCUGUUCUCUAUCAGGCACAACUUUUGAUGAGCGGUUUGACUUAAUCUUUAAGGUUAUUCCUUUAAUUCCAUCAUUCUAAAACAACCAGCCAUUUUCUCUAAAAAAUACACCCAGGAGAAAUAAUAUUGUGUAUUUAGUAUUAAGAAGAAUGAAUAAAGAAACACAAUAUGGAAAAGUAAAUUAUCUGGAAUAACGUGACUAGGAGACAAGAGCCUAAGAAACCAUCAUAAUCUAUCUAUGGGGUUUUAUAAAGUCUGACUGCACAAAAUUGUAGAAUAUCUGCUACCUAGAUACCCCUAGUGGGCUUAAUGUCUAGUUCUAAUAUCUAUAAUGAGUCAGGCACUCCUGGAGAAAUCUGGAUGAAGCAACAAGAAAAGAGUCAGAUGUGAAUACGUCUAAGAGAGAAGGCGGGACAGGGAGCAAUAAGAUAUUGAAAAUGUACCUUUAAGUAUAUACCUCUGGGCAGGUGCAGAGCUAAUAUCACAUUUUCAUGUAUAUAAUAAUAACAAUAAAAAAUAAUAAAAAAUAGCCUCAUGUCUAUACCGUGUAUUGUGUGCCUGUACUAAGCACCGCAUAUAUCAUGUAAUCCUCGCAAGGGGUAAGGCAGGGCUAUCGAUCUCUUUUGACACCAAUUAGAGGUAACAAAAACAAGGAGAGGGUAAAAGGCCACUUAUUAAAGGAAAUAACAUUUUUCCUGACAAGUUGCAACCUUCUUUCACCUAUUGGAAUGUCAAUUUGACACUAUCUUCAUCUAGCACAGCAAUUAUCUUUAAAUAUAACCAUAGAUUCAUUUUAUGUGAAAUUGUAUGCGAGAAAUCAUGUCCUUACAUUAGGAGAGAACUUCCAAUUUAUCUUAGGAUUACAUCUCUUGGUGGCAUUUCUGGAGGUUUUGUAUGUUACUUUCGGCCCGGUGACAAGAACAACUGUGCAUCUCUGUUCCUAUAGAGGGCAAAACAUUUCAUUUCUAAGGAUGCCAAAUGGGAAAUAAAGCACUUUCUAUAAUUAACACUCUCUUUAGAAAGUAUCGUUUAUUUUUCCUAGUUAAUGGCAGAGAUGACCCUUAGAGAAUUAAUGAAGGAAUCCAGAGACAGAUCACAGAUAUUUCAAAACAUCAGAUUUGAAAAAGGAUGUCAGCUGACCCCCCCCCAAGGAAGCAUAAUCUAUGUAAGCCAGUUCCCUUUAUCUUUAGUAUUUCUGUAAUGCAGAGUGUCCUUUGCUGCAUCCGUCUCUCUCUUAAGAAGCUAUGUUGACAAGCUACCAAAUUUCUCCUUCCUUCUGGGAGUUCCGUCGUGGCGCAGUGGUUAACAAAUCUGACUAGGAACCAUGAGGGAUUGAGGGUUCGAUCCCUGGCCUCACUCAGUGGUUAAGGAUCUGGUGUUGCUGUGAGCUGUGGUGCAGGUCGCAGACACGGCUCGGAUCCCGUGUUGCUGUGGCUGUUAUGUAGGCCGGCAGCUACAGCUCUGAUUAGACCCCUAGC